UACGGAGGGUGCAAGCGUUAUCCGGAUUCACUGGGCUUAAAGGGUGCGUAGGCGGGUUGGUAAGUCAGUGGUGAAAUCCCCGAGCUUAACUUGGGAACUGCCAUUGAUACUAUCAGUCUUGAAUACCGUGGAGGUUAGCGGAAUAUGUCAUGUAGCGGUGAAAUGCUUAGAUAUGACAUAGAACACCAAUUGCGAAGGCAGCUGGCUACACGAAUAUUGACACUGAGGCACGAAAGCGUGGGGAUCAAACAGG
rnacentral:rRNA from 1 species